rnacentral:lncRNA from 1 species
GCCCCGCGGCUCUGGCCUCUGUUGGGGACUAUCGAUGCAGCUCCGGAUCUCCUCUGCUGACCCCAUUAGGGCUCUGCCUGCAGAGACGGAGGGAGGCUGGCCAGCGCCUGCACUCGCCAUGAGCCGGAGGCUGGGGGCCUGGGCCGGGGGCUCCCCGGGGGUGGCGGAGGGGAAGCUGCAAGUCCUGGAGAAGUUCUUUCAGCCUGCCUGGGCUUGGGGGCGGGAGUCCCUGUGGAGCUCCCCUUCCUCCUCCCCGGGCUCCGCAGGCCCCCCCCGGAUUGGCGGCCGGGGUCCCGAGGAGAGGUUGAGGUUUUCGGCCUUCCUCGAUGAGAUAACCCAGAGGGUGCUGAGCCCUGCCCAGCUCCAGGCCCUAGGCUGGAGGGGGGCGCUGCACCACCCCGGGGGUGGAGGAGGACGGCGGAGAACAAAGCCCCCCGGCCAGCCCAUCUCUCCAGAGGACCCGCUGUGGGAGCUGCUGACGCCCAGCGGGCUGCAAGAGGACUUGGCCAGCACUCACAGGGCCCAUCAACUCCUGGAGGAGAAACUCCAAAGCCUGGUCUCCAGGUUGGCUUCCAGCCCUCUGGGAUCCCCUGUUUUCUUUUUCCUGAAUGAGGCUCCCAGCGGCAACCUGGACUCUGCCAUGCCCUGGGUGAACCCAGAGCUGAGGAAGGGGGGUGGUGUGGGAGUCCUGGGGGCCACCAGGAAGGAGAGUCAACACUGCUGUGAAAGGAGUCUGCCCCAGGCUCCCCUGUCCCAACUUUCUUAGUGUCAGCAAUAAAGCCUGAGACUGUAGCUCCCUGCCCUGUGCC